rnacentral:lncRNA from 1 species
CAGAUCCCCUGUUUGAGGGACCAAAGGAAGCAGUGUCCGACCCACAUCUCUUCUGGACACACUUGGGGAAUAUGCCUCCCCUCUCCAGCCCACCUCAAAGCAAGCUAAUAUCAGAUCAAUCCUGAAGGGUUUGGCAACAACAAAAGUUAGCUGUCCAGAAGGAAGGCUUGCCAGACUUCAAAAGACAAUCAACGAGUGAAUGAGAAACAAAAUGACCUGGUCAUGCUGAAAUAAGGACACCGGGGCCUCUUUGGACAAAUUUCGUGUGGAGGCUGGACACGUGGGGGCCACACCCACAUGCCGCCUUUUACCCAGGCGAGUCUCAAAGCACUUGUCCAGCCAGGCUGAUUGAUAGCUCUGCAGUGGCCCUGUUUACCACCAGAGUGAGGCACAGCAGCUGGCUGACAACCCUUCGAUUGACCCUGGUCAGCACUUUCAAGGUAGGAAGCUCAGAAGAACAGUGUCCACUUAAAGCCACAACAAAGGCAGUGAGGGGAUGCCCUUUCUUUGUGAAUGGGCCGGCAGGCUGGCUUCUCUAAACACACAUACACCAGUGAGGGAAGUGGGUGUGAAUGGAGGCGAAAUUGCUCUGGGGCAAUUCUAGCUUGGCCCUUUGUCACCCUGGGAAGACAGUUGGAUACUCAGGCCCAGUGUGACUUGGACACGGACCUAAUGUUAGAUGUUACAUAAAGUCCCUGCAACCUGCUCGUCUGGUUCAGCAACAGCUUCAGUAGUCUUGAAGAUGUCCCUUGGUUGUCCUCUUCCAGGAGAAAAUCUGUGUGUUUAUUUCUCUAACCUUCCCAUUCUGUAUAGUUAAUAUAAUUCAUAUGUCCUAAAUUCCCCACGUCUCAGCAUACCCAGAGCUCGAUCCCAAGCCCCAUGCUCAAAUGCCCACUCACUAGAGUCCUGGUAAGUGUUCCCCAACGCCCCUGGGAGUUACUGAGGUGGGGCCUGUGAAGUUAGGUCACUGGGGAUGUCUUUGAAGAUCACUUCUUUUUGUAUUCCUUAGCUUCUCAGCUGCCUCGAGGCAAAUAGCUUCCUCCAACGUGCUCCCUGCUCC